rnacentral:rRNA from 1 species
CACGUAGGGGACGAGCGUUGUCCGGAUUCAUUGGGCGUAAAGCGCGUGUAGGCGGCUUUGCAAGUCGGGUGUGAAAGCCCUCAGCUCAACUGAGGAAGUGCGCCCGAAACUGCAGAGCUUGAGUACCGGAGAGGAUGGCGGAAUUCCCCAAGUAGAGGUGAAAUUCGUAGAUAUGGGGAGGAACACCGGUGGCGAAGGCGGCCAUCUGGACGGAUACUGACGCUGAGACGCGAAAGCGUGGGGAGCAAACAGG